rnacentral:rRNA from 1 species
UACGUAGGGUGCGAGCGUUAAUCGGAAUUACUGGGCGUAAAGUGUGCGCAGGCGGCAGAGCAAGUCGAGUGUGAAAGCCCCGGGCUUAACUUGGGAAUUGCGCUCGAAACUACUUUGCUGGAGUGUGGCAGAGGAAGGUGGAAUUCCACGUGUAGCGGUGAAAUGCGUAGAGAUGUGGAGGAACACCAAUGGCGAAGGCAGCCUUCUGGGCCAACACUGACGCUCAUGCACGAAGGCGUGGGGAGCAAACAGG